CCUACGGGUGGCUGCAGUGGGGAAUAUUGGACAAUGGGGGCAACCCUGAUCCAGCCAUGCCGCGUGUGUGAAGAAGGCCCUCGGGUUGUAAAGCACUUUCAGUGAGGAAGAACGCCUGGUGGUUAAUACCCAUCAGGAAAGACAUCACUCACAGAAGAAGCACCGGCUAACUCCGUGCUAGCAGCCGCGGUAAUACGGAGGGUGCGAGCGUUAAUCGGAAUUACUGGGCGUAAAGCGCGCGUAGGUGGCUUGAUAAGCCGGUUGUGAAAGCCCCGGGCUCAACCUGGGAACGGCAUCCGGAACUGUCAAGCUAGAGUGCAGGAGAGGAAGGUAGAAUUCCCGGUGUAGCGGUGAAAUGCGUAGAGAUCGGGAGGAAUACCAGUGGCGAAGGCGGCCUUCUGGACUGACACUGACACUGAGGUGCGAAAGCGUGGGUAGCAAACAGGAUUAGAUACCCCUGUAGUC
rnacentral:rRNA from 1 species